rnacentral:rRNA from 1 species
GACAGAGGGGGCAAGCGUUGCUCGGAAUCACUGGGCGUAAAGGGCGCGUAGGCGGGAGGGCAAGUCGGUCGUGAAAUUCCCCGGCUCAACCGGGGCAGGUCGGCCGAGACUGCCGUUCUUGAGGGAUGCAGAGGAGACUGGAAUUCCCGGUGUAGCGGUGAAAUGUGUAGAGAUCGGGAGGAACACCGGUGGCGAAGGCGGGUCUCUGGGCAUCACCUGACGCUGAGGCGCGAAAGCGUGGGGAGCAAACGGG